rnacentral:rRNA from 1 species
AUACGUAGGGGGCAAGCGUUAUCCGGAAUUACUGGGUGUAAAGCGCUCGUAGGUUGGCUUUGUAAGUCAGGUGUGAAAGCCCACGGCUCAACCGUGGAAUUGCACUUGAUACUGCAUUGCUUGAGUUCGGGAGAGGGUAGUGGAAUUCCAGGUGUAGGAGUGAAAUCCGUAGAGAUCUGGAGGAACACCAGUGGCGAAGGCGACUACCUGGACCGAUACUGACACUGAGGAGCGAAAGCGUGGGGAGC